rnacentral:lncRNA from 1 species
AUUUCCUGACCUCGUGAUCUGCCCGCCUCGGCCUCCCAAAGUGUUGGAAUUACAGGCGUGAGCCACCGCGCCUGGCCAGCUUUUUCUAUUCUUAACAGAGCAUCUCCUAGGCAUAAGGCAUUGGUCUAAAACCUAAAAAAUGCAAUGGCGAAAAAGCAAACACAGCACCUAAUUUAAUAAGGUUUGUGUUCUGCUGGGAGAAAGACACGAAAUGUCAAGUUAUACAAUGAAUUGGUACAAUUAUAAAUGUUACGAAGAGUUGAGCUUAUUAGGACAUUAAUUGCAAUCUAAUAGGAAAAUAGAGAUUAAUUGCUAAAUGUUCUAAUCUAAUGGCCCCAACUCUUCAUAACACUAAAUGUUAAAUGUUUAGCAUUUAGACAAUGUAAGGUAGUCUGGGGGAAUAGCAGUGCCUUUUUGAGAUGUUACAUUUUAGCUGUGAUCUAAACGAUGAAUGGGAACUAUACUAGGAAGAGGAGUGGAGUAAAUGACACAUGCAAAAGCCCUGAGUGUAGCAUAUUCAAGGAACUGAAAGAAGGCCCCUGCAAUGGGAAGGCAAACAACCACAGAGAAUGUGACAUAAGGUGAAUAUGGAGACAUGGGCAGGGGGAAUGCUCAUUCAAGUAGAAUUAUGCGGAUGAAAAACCUUUGAUGGGCUUUAAUCGGGGGAGUGACACGAACAGAUUUUCAUUUAAAAGGACUACUCUGGCUAUAGAGUAGAGUAGGCAUUGUAGGGGACAAGCAAGUAAGGUAGGAGACCCCAGUCACAGUUGUCAAGUUAAGAGAAGAAGGUAGGUUUGACUAGAGUGGUAGAGAUGGAGAUGAGGAGAAGUGGGAAAAUUGGAGAAAGAUUUAGUAAGGAAAGUCAAUGGAAUUUGACUCAGUGUGUGCUGGAGAGUCAUGGUGAGUAGAUGGCAAUCAGAGCAUGAGCUCAAGGAGCUAGUGUUUGAGAAACAUACUUCAGGAGCUAUAGUGUACUGUCUUUAACCUGAUACUUUUUAAAGAAAUACCCAAACAUCCUAAUUCCUCUGCAUAGGACUCCACUGAUCCAAGACACCACUUGAGCCCCACUACAGCCUUUCCUUAAAUUACCUCUCUGGACUCAUUUCCCAUUUUUACUGCCACCCUUCACUUUCCUAAUAACCCUGCACUUCAGGUAUACCAAACUUCUCAUAAUUCUGAAAUACUGCUCUUCUGUCUAAAAUUCCUUUCUCAGCACCAACCUCCAAUAUUUUUUUUACUGGUAAACUGCUGUGCAUCAUUUAAAGCCUGGAACAAUUUGACUACCUUCCCUCUGAAGUCUCUCCCAGCUUUCCUAAAGGAAGUAAUUCCUUGUCUGUGCUCUCACAGAACCAGGCUUACACUUAGUGUGUCUGCUAGAAUGUAAACUCCACCAAGGUGGGGAUUGUCUGUCUUCUUUUCUAGCACUGUAAACAGUACCUGACCACCUCUAAGUUGGUAUACAUAUCCUAAGUUAUAAUAUUUUGCUUAGUGUUCUCAUCCUGUUUUUAGGAAAACCAAGCUCUCUGAAGACAAGGACUAUAUCUUAUUCCUUCUAAUGAUCAGCAAUCUAGCACAGGUCCUGGCAGGCAGGACACAGUAGGCCCUCCAUACAUUUAUAUUUAAUGAAUACAUUUUAGGGCAGAAAGAUCAGGAUUUCUAUUGAUCUCUUUCUAUAGCCAUGUACCUUUCGGAGCUCUGAUGUGCCCAUGUAACCUUGUGCCCUUGGCUUCCCUGGAUUUUGGAAAGGGGAUCUCCAGUACUCAGUACCUCUGAAACUUGGACUUUCUGAUUUACCCUCACUUGAACUGCAUGUGCCGGGCUCCCUCUUCCACUCUAUCAGGCUGGAACUCUCUGUCAAGGUAGUUGAAUGUAAUUUUGCCUUGAUGUUAGGUGGGAACAGAACAUUGAACACAGCCAUUCAAGGAGUCAAAGAAUGGGUUGGGGCUGGGUGUGGUAGCGUACACCUAUAACCCCAGCACUUUGGAAGGCCAAGGCAGGAGGAUCACUUGAGCCCAGGAGUUCCAAACCAGCCUGGGCCAUAUCAUGUAUUGCCUUGCAAAAAAUUUCUUUAAAAAAAUUAGUUGAGCAUGGUGGUGCAUGCCUGUAGUCCCAGCUACCCAAGAGGCUGAAGUGGGAGGAUCACUUGAACCUGGGAGGUCAAGGCUGCUGUGGCCCAUGAUCAUGCCACUGCACUCCAGCCCGGGCAACAGAGAGAGACCCUGUCUUAAAAAAAAAAAAAAAAGAAAAAAAAAGGGAUGUGGUGGGGUGUGGGGUUGGUGCCAAUAAACUUUGCUAUCUUUAGUAAUGGGAAUGGAAAGAUAGAAUCUUCCAACAGCAGACCUGGAAAGCAAUCUUGGGAUCAUUUAUCUCUUUGUGUUUGUUUAAUGUGGCUAACAUCUUUAACAAGAAACUCAAAUGUGAAAGUUACUUGCCUAAGGUUGAGGUAUUGCUUCUCACAAGAGGUCAUUAGCUGUGGGGUUCUGCCUGCAGACCCUGGCCUAAAGGACAGAUGAAUAAAACGUACACUGACACACAGAUAUUCUGUUUUGCCAGUCCUGCUGAGUGCCCGACUGCCUGCACACCAAGAGAGGUUUGUUACUGUGGCCGGCCCUGAGCAGCUCGCACUUCAGGCAUUUAUUUAGUAUACAAUUAACAACAGAAGCUUUGAGUCCACACACUUGUGGAUAAUUAACGUGGUUAACAGAGUAGUUCCACGAAUGAUUAAAGCUCAGGUACUGCGGUUUAAAAUAAAUACCAUUAGGGGGCAAUAUUCCUGGUAGACCUCCACACCGCCUUGGAGAGGGCCAUCUGGUUCAAAGGAACCUCCAUUUGGAUGAUCUG